rnacentral:tRNA from 1 species
GGCAAGAUGGCCGAGUGGUUAUGGCGGAGGGUUCAAGCUUUGCUUGCCUUGAGAAUCAAGGCUGCUUUCCUCUGGGGCAACCCGCAGGGGUUCGAAUCCCCUUCUUGUCA